GGAAAGAAUUUAAUUUUGGUUCAGAUUGAACGUUUUUCAGUAGUUUAAGACAUGCAAAUCUUUUUUUUUCGAAAAAUAUUAGAAAAAAAGGUGUAAAGGUGAGUACAAUAAAUAAGAUACCCUAAAGUCUCCAUAAAUAGGGGAUAUUUCUUAAGCUUCCUAUUAAAUAUAUGCAAUGAAAAAAACACAUAUUUAGUAUAGUUUCAAGAAAAAUAAAAAAUAAGCUAUUUUUAUUAAUAAAGGAAAUUUUCCGCUAUAGAAUUCUAUUUAUUUAGAUUAGGUAGUUGGUGGGGUAAAAGCCUACCAAGCCGACGAUCUAAAGCUAAGCUUGAAAGAGCCGAUGGCCACAUUGGGGAUGAAAUCUCCCAAGUAGUUUUAUACUACCAGCAGUCUAGAGUAUUAGUCAAUGCUCGCAAGAGUGAACUAGCUAACUGAAAUCUUAUUUAAGAUAACGUAAGGGAAAAUAAUGAUACUACCUUACUAUUAGUGUCGUCCAAAUCUGGUGCCAGAAGACUCGGUAAGGCCAGAGACGCAAACGUUAAUCAUCAUAAACAGGCGUAAAGGGUUUGUAGGCAGCUUCUAAUAUUUUUAUUUUAAUAUAGCUCGUGUGCCUCGGGAAACCGAAACAGGCAAAUACUAUUUUAAAAUAGUCAUUAAACAUAUGAAAUAUAAAUAAAUGGAAGCUAGAAUCAAAUAGAGGUUAAAUCAUAUAAUGCUUAGAGUAGGGUUCCAAUCCGCAAAUACUAAGUAGAAUACUAAAGGCGAAGGCAUUUUUCCACUAAUGAUUGACGCUGAGAAACGAAGGUGAGGAUAGGAAAUAGGAUUAGAGACCCAUGAACCCCUCACUGUCAACGAUGAAUGGUAGUUAUCAGUUUAAUAACUGGUUUCGAUGUUAACACGAUAACCAUUCCGCCUUGUGAGUACGAUUGCAAAAUUGAAAACAAAAAAAUUAGUCGGUCUCGAAGCAAACGAAGUGAAGCAUGUUGUUUAAUACGAUAACCCGCGUAAAAUCUUACCAGUUCUUGUAUAAAAAUUUAUAAUUUUUAAGAAAUUAAUUAUUAUAAAGAGUGUUUUUAUUUAAAAAUGCUUAACUACAGGUGUUGCAUGGCUGUCGUCAGUCCGUAUCGUAAGAAGUUAGGUUAACUCCACAAACGGACGAAAUCCCUUUUGUUAAUUUAUUCUUAACAAAUAAGUGGGUCUGAGAUAGACUCAUUUUGGGGCUAAGACAAGUCGUUAUGGCCCUCAUGAACUGGGCUAUAGACGUGCCACAAUAACUUUUACAAAGUGAUGCAAUACCCUCUCUUAGUUAAUCUUUGCCUUUGGCGCUUAUUUAGAUUAAUAAUUUACUUUGUCGAGUAAGUUGAGAAAUAAGGUGGAGCUAAUCAUUAAAAAAAGUUAAAAUAUUAAAUUAUGACGGAUUGUCACCUGAAAUUCGGUGGCAUGAAGCAGGAAUUUCGAGUAAUCGUUGAUCAUUACGCAACGGUGAAGAUCAAAUUCGUGAUGAACUAACUGUCUGUCGCUGGGAAGGAGCUUACAUUGGAGGAAACUGGAGGUAGAUUAAUAUUUUUCACAGGUGCGGCACGGUCACGGUCGGCUGACCGUAAACCGACCUAAGCCGUAAAACGUUUUUAGGGUGCUAUUUUUAAUAGUCAAUUAAAUCCCUAUUAUCUUCAUCUUUGCCGGCUUUCGGGUAACCGAGCCGAGCAUAGUGAAGUGAUUAAACACCUAUGUUAAGUUAAUUGACUUUAGUUAAUUCAGUUGAGUAACAUCUCAAAAGUCAUAGCAAGGUAGCUGUGCUGGAAGGUGUAGCUGGAUAAUAACAAAUACUUUA
rnacentral:rRNA from 1 species